rnacentral:rRNA from 1 species
UACGGAGGGAGCUAGCGUUAUUCGGAAUUACUGGGCGUAAAGCGCACGUAGGCGGCUUUGUAAGUUAGAGGUGAAAGCCUGGAGCUCAACUCCAGAACUGCCUUUAAGACUGCAUCGCUUGAAUCCAGGAGAGGUGAGUGGAAUUCCGAGUGUAGAGGUGAAAUUCGUAGAUAUUCGCAAGAACACCAGUGGCGAAGGCGGCUCACUGGCCCGAUACUGACGCUGAGGCACGAAAGCGUGGGGAGCAAACAGG